UACGAAGGGGGCUAGCGUUGCUCGGAAUCACUGGGCGUAAAGCGCACGUAGGCGGAUUGUUAAGUCAGGGGUGAAAUCCUGGAGCUCAACUCCAGAACUGCCUUUGAUACUGACGGUCUUGAGUUCGGGAGAGGUGAGUGGAACUGCGAGUGUAGAGGUGAAAUUCGUAGAUAUUCGCAAGAACACCAGUGGCGAAGGCGGCUCACUGGCCCGAUACUGACGCUGAGGUGCGAAAGCG
rnacentral:rRNA from 1 species